AGCGGUGAAAUGCAUAGAUAUUACAUAGAAUACCGAUUGCGAAGGCAGUCUACUAACUGUACACUGACGCUAAUGGACGAAAGCGUGGGGAGCGGACAGGAUUAGAUACCCUGGUAGUCCACGCCGUAAACGAUGGUCACUAGUUGUUGGGGUCUUGUACCUCAGUGAUUAAGAGAAAUUGAUAAGUGACCCACCUGGGGAGUACGAUCGCAAGAUUGAAACUCAAAGGAAUUGACGGGGGCCCGCACAAGCGGUGGAGCAUGUGGUUUAAUUCGAUGAUACGCGAGGAACCUUACCAGGGCUUAAAUGUAAGUUGCAUGAUUUAGAGAUAGAUCUUUCUUCGGACUACUUACAAGGUGCUGCAUGGUUGUCGUCAGCUCGUGCCGUGAGGUGUCAGGUUAAGUCCUAUAACGAGCGCAACCCCUACCGUUAGCUGCCAGCAUGUUAUGAUGGGGACUCUAGCGGGACUGCCGGUGCAAACCGAGAGGAAGGUGGGGAUGACGUCAAAUCAUCACGGCCCUUACGUCCUGGGCUACACACGUGCUACAAUGGUAACGACAGAGGGCAGCCACCCC
rnacentral:rRNA from 1 species